GACGAACGCUGGCGGCAUGCCUAACACAUGCAAGUCGAACGAGACCUUCGGGUCUAGUGGCGCACGGGUGCGUAACGCGUGGGAACCUGCCCUUAGGUUCGGAAUAACUCCCCGAAAGGGGUGCUAAUACCGGAUAAUGUCUUCGGACCAAAGAUUUAUCGCCUUUGGAUGGGCCCGCGUUGGAUUAGCUAGUUGGUAGGGUAAAAGCCUACCAAGGCGACGAUCCAUAGCUGGUCUGAGAGGAUGAUCAGCCACACUGGGACUGAGACAUGGCCCAGACUCCUACGGGAGGCAGCAGUGGGGAAUAUUGGACAAUGGGCGAAAGCCUGAUCCAGCAAUGCCGCGUGAGUGAUGAAGGCCUUAGGGUUGUAAAGCUCUUUUACCCGGGAUGAUAAUGACAGUACCGGGAGAAUAAGCUCCGGCUAACUCCGUG
rnacentral:rRNA from 1 species